UGCCGGUUUACUAAUUAAAACACAUCGCAGCCUGGGCGUUCAAAAUUGGAAGCUCGUACCUAAUCGAUACUUCCGUACCGAAUUUCAUAAUCUCUAUUCGGAAGACAACCACAAAUGGAAUUACCUACUGGAGUUACUGGAUCGGUAGAAACGCCAAUAUGGUCAAGUAGGUCACCGUAUUAAACAAUCAUAGAGAAUUCUUGCCAGGUUGCAAGCAUGUGCGCUAAGAAAAUUAUAAGCCAACCUCUUCAGAAGUGAAAGUGACAAGUGAAAGCGCUACAUAUUUGUCAUUACCGUAAUUUGGCAAACAAAACCAUAAACACAUAGCCAGAAUAAUUAAAAGUGCGGCUAAUCGAUUUAUUGGGUGUUAAAUAAUUGCACUGUUGAACUUUGAAGCGGUUGCGGGUUGCGUCAAGAACCUAGAAGGGUAGAGCAAACUAGAACUAGGACAGGGGCAUACAUCAGGAUAUGAUCUGAAACAAUCCGCACGAUACAAUAUUAUAACGAAAUUGCAUAAUUCGAGGCUAAUGUUGUUAAUCAUUACGAAAAAUAAUUAAAUUCCUUUCGUUACA